AUUGAACGCUGGCGGCAGGCCUAACACAUGCAAGUCGAACGGUAACAGGAAGCAGCUUGCUGCUUCGCUGACGAGUGGCGGACGGGUGAGUAAUGUCUGGGAAGCUGCCUGAUGGAGGGGGAUAACUACUGGAAACGGUAGCUAAUACCGCAUAAUGUCGCAAGACCAAAGAGGGGGACCUUCGGGCCUCUUGCCAUCGGAUGUGCCCAGAUGGGAUUAGCUUGUUGGUGGGGUAACGGCUCACCAAGGCGACGAUCCCUAGCUGGUCUGAGAGGAUGACCCGCCCCACGGGGACUGAGAACCGGUCCAGACUCCUACGGGGGGCAGCAGUGGGAAAUAUUGCAAAAUGGGGGCAAGCCUGAUGCAGCCAUGCCGGGUGUAUGAAGAAGGCCUUCGGGUUGUAAAGUUCUUUCAGGGGGGGGGAAGGGAGAAAAUUUAAUACCUUUGCUCAUUGACGUUACCCGCAGAAGAAGCCCCGGCUAACCCCGU
rnacentral:rRNA from 1 species